UUCGUACUUUUCAUUUUUGUGUUGUAAUAUACAUCUUGCAGAUACACGAUUUUUAACUUGAAGAGUAUGGUCGUUGGACUUUAGUUCAGUACAGAUUUGUUUCAUGAUAAGCUUACCAACUCCAUUUCCAAAUACAUGACGUAGAAAGCAUGUAGUCAAACUUUACCUUUGACCAUUAGUCAAAUCAAAUUAUUUAGUUUUUCUUUGAUAGAAAUUGUAGCAUUAGGUUUGUAAUUCAGAACAGUUUCACUGUAUAUACUUUUUACUUAUAUAUGUUGUGCACUGAAGACUCAAAAUGCAAAACAUUAUCUAUCUUAGAAUGGUGGGAGUAUAUUUGAUUAUGAUUAGUGAUAAGUUGAUAACUGUCGAUAGUCAAUCGAGAAAUUUUAUUGUGAUUAUCUUAAUUUGAUGACCAUAUUAUGAGUCAUGAUUAGCCAAUCAAACCUGCAAGCUCACUUAAUCCUACCUAACAGAUAAAGAACACUGUUUUAUUAAUAGAAUAGUGUGCUUCCCUUUACUGUGAUAUCUUACUAGUCCUAGUCAAUUUGAACAAGUUUAUAACAUGCUCAUUUUAACUUUGAUCAUCCUACACAUCUCUGUGUGCA
rnacentral:lncRNA from 1 species